UAAAAACCCCGACUUCGGAAGGGGUGUAUUUAUUAGAUACAAAACCAAUGCCCUUCGGGGCUCUUUGGUGAUUCAUGAUAACUAUACGAAUCGCACGGCCUUGCGCCGGCGAUGGUUCAUUCAAAUUUCUUCCCUAUCAACUUUCGAUGUUUGGGUAUUGGCCAAACAUGGUUGCAACGGGUAACGGAGGGUUAGGGCUCGACCCCGGAGAAGGAGCCUGAGAAACGGCUACUACAUCCAAGGAAGGCAGCAGGCGCGCAAAUUACCCAAUCCCGACUCGGGGAGGUAGUGACAAUAAAUACUGAUACAGGGCCCUUUCGGGCCUUGUAAUUGGAAUGAGUACAAUCUAAAUCCCUUAACGAGGAACAAUUGGAGGGCAAGUCUGGUGCCAGCAGCCGCGGUAAUUCCAGCUCCAAUAGCGUAUAUUAAAGUUGUUGUGGUUAAAAAGCUCGUAGUUGAACCUUGGGCCUGGCUGGCCGGUCCGCCUCACCGCGUGCACUGGUCCGGCCGGGCCUUUCCCUCUGUGGAACCCCAUACCCUUCACUGGGCGUGGCGGGGAAACAGGACAUUUACUUU
rnacentral:rRNA from 1 species